AGUUGCCGGCGUAGGGUACAGAGGUAAGAUGUUCUAUCUUUCAGACCUUUUACUUCACGUAAUCGGAUUUAGCUGAAUAUUAGCUGCCCCAGUCAUAUUUUUUGACUGGGGCGUUUUUUU
rfam:Xenorhabdus nematophila ATCC 19061 chromosome, complete genome